rnacentral:rRNA from 1 species
GAUGAACGCUGGCGGCGUGCCUAAUACAUGCAAGUCGAGCGAACGGACGAGAAGCUUGCUUCUCUGAUGUUAGCGGCGGACGGGUGAGUAACACGUGGAUAACCUACCUAUAAGACUGGGAUAACUUCGGGAAACCGGAGCUAAUACCGGAUAAUAUUUUGAACCGCAUGGUUCAAAAGUAAAAGACGGUCUUGCUGUCACUUAUAGAUGGAUCCGCGCUGCAUUAGCUAGUUGGUAAGGUAACGGCUUACCAAGGCAACGAUGCAUAGCCGACCUGAGAGGGUGAUCGGCCACACUGGAACUGAGACACGGUCCAGACUCCUACGGGAGGCAGCAGUAGGGAAUCUUCUGCAAUGGGCGAAAGCCUGACGGAGCAACGCCGCGUGAGUGAUGAAGGUCUUCGGAUCGUAAAACUCUGUUAUUAGGGAAGAACAUAUGUGUAAGUAACUGUGCACAUCUUGACGGUACCUAAUCAGAAAGCCACGGCUAACUACGUG